CCAAUUCUAGAUGUUAGGUGGCCAUCUUUCGCCCUCUAAUGUGAUCUGUGCAAUUAUCUUUUUUAACGUUAAUUCACAUCAUUGCGAUAAAUCGGGGUCAUUUGGGUCAAUAUUUUCUGAGCUGUGGGAUAUCAGCUACCAUUUACUAUCGUAGUAAACUCAGGAAAUGAUUAAUGGUUUGUUCAUAAGGUCAGAUGCUAUUUUGGCGACCUCCCCUGAUGGAGGUUUGAGUGUCAAGGCAGCUUUUUUCUUGUGACUAAAUGCGGUUACAAUUGAUUAUUUUUGCUCUUAUGGUAUGACAUUGAUUUAGCUGGCGGUGCCAACAUUUACAUAAUCCUGGUGAUGACUCUGUGGCUCUAUAGCUAUUUGAGUUAUAUGUAGGCUAUAUACUACAUUUUUUCAGCUCUAACAUGACCCUUUAUUUUGUAUAUGGUGAGUGCAUCUUAAAGAGCAUCAAGUGAGGACCAUAGAACUUUACAAGUAGUUUAUCUCUUUUCUAAAGGAAAAUCAUCUUGAUUACACCAAAAAAUUCUUGUACAUCUAUUUUUAAGCUAUGUGUUGCCUCUUGUCACCUUUUCAGAGCCCCUUCUAUUUCUUUCUUUCCGUAGCAUCUAUGGUAUGCAUAAAGAAGAAAUGACCCAAAACUUGCCUCUUAAAUAAAUGGUGCACAUGUUCUUGAUUCUUUUUCUCUGUUUUUAUUUUCUUUGGCAUGUUUAAAAUGGCUGCAAUAUAGUUCAUGCAUGAAAAGGAAUUAUCCUUUGAAUUGGGACACUGAUAUUUCGGCAGAGAAGCUUCUAGUUUCUGCUUCUAUCCAGCUUGUUGGCGUUUUGCCUACCACCAUAGUUCAGACUUCUUACUGAAUCACAUUUUUCGUCUUCAAAGAACCUGGACUAGGAUUGCUGAUAUUGAACUCUCAAAUUGUUUGUUUCUGUAGUUUUUCCUUGGUAACUAAAUGCAUAGACAAAACCACAUUAACUGGUAUAUGUAUUUCUUGAAGGGACUUAUGAUAAUCAGCUGUAGGCAUCAGUUCUCUGCUUCUAACUUGUUCUAACUGCUCUUAGUUGGUCAUACCAAUGCAUGAGUUUCUGGACUCAAAUGUAAAAUAGGAAUAUUUAGCCUCCAUCUUGAGGUAAUAAAUCUGGUAUUAGUAAAACUAGUCAUUUCCCAGAGUAUCGUUUAUGCACUGAUGUACCCAAAAAAAAAAAAAUCUGAUGUCCAUCUCCUCUUCCUAACCUUUGGGACAUUAAUACAUUGUGAGAUCUGUAUUCAAUCCAAAGUUGUUACACUGAGAAAAAUAAGUUUUCCAAGUAAUUGUUACAUUUCACCUGGUCCAUGUGCUGGUGGGAGGUAGUAGGUACCUGCUGGGAUUAGUCAAGGUGCGUGCAAGGUUGUCCAGACACUGCUGUUAUAAAAAUACUAACUUUAGUUGUUACUCUUCAUAAUGUGCAACUGAUCUAUAUGUUUGCUCGAGGACUCAUGGUCUCUGUAUAUAUUUCAGCCACUGGCCCACAUUUCCACAAAUAUUUAUCAAGGGGGAGUUCAUCGGCGGAUCAGAUAUCAUCCUCAAUAUGCACCAGAGCGGUGAACUCAAGGAAAAGCUGAAAACUAUUGUGGCCAACGAGGGGAAAUCAGAAUGAGAUAAUGUCACUGCAGAAUGUAGAAUUGUUCUGCCUGUGUGUCGAACUAUUGUAAUAUUUCUAGCAUUGAGUUUGUAAUCUUUAGGCUUGCGAGCUGUAAUAAAAGUGACACUUGAUUCCAUAUUCCAUAUUUUAGUGGAAACGAUCAAAUAAUAUUCUUCA